rnacentral:lncRNA from 1 species
GGUCUCUGGCCCCAAAAAGGGGGUCUCCGGCCUCAAAGUGAGUGUUUUUUACCCAAAAUUGGCAGUCCCGGCCUCAAAACGGGGAGGCCCCCGGCCCCAAAAUGGGCGUCUUGGCCCCAGAAUGGGGGGUUUUGACCCCAAAUGGGGACGUUUUAGCCCCAAAAAGGGGGGUUUGGACCCCGAAAAAAGGGCUCUAACCCCAAAUAGCGGGGUCUUGUUCCCAAAUACGGGGCUCUCAGUCCCAAAAACAGGCGUUUUGUCCCCAAAAUGGGGCGCCCCCCCCCUCCUUGCCGGGACCACGGCCUGGUGUGGCCCCGCGGCCUCCGUCACCUCCAGGGCCUCCUGGGGGGGGGCUGGGGGGGGGGGGAGGCGGGAGCGGAACCCCCCCCCCAAUUUGUUGGCCUUGGGGAAGAGGCGGAAGAGGCCCCGCUCCGAGGCCAGGCCCAGCCCCUGCAGCACCCCAAAAACGGGCCGGGGGCCACCAGGAGGUAGAGGGGGAGGAAGAGCCAGGGGGAGGCCAGGAGGCGCGAGGCCAGGAGCAGGGCGGGGACGUGGAGGGGGGGCAGGAUUUGGGGGAAAAAACGGGGGAUUUGGGGCACCGGCAGGGGGCGGCGGGGGGCCAGGGGGGGCCUCAGACCCAGCAGGGGCCCCAAAAGGAGGAGGAGGAGGAGGAGGAGCAGGGGGAGGGGCAGGAAGGCCGGGGGGGCGAGGGCCAGCGCCAGCCCCGCCCCCAGCAGGGCCCCGCCCCCUCCCCAGCCGGCCCAGCACGGGAGGCCACGCCCACCUGCGGCGGGAGGCUCCGCCCCCAGCUCAGGCUCCGCCCCCAGCUCAGGCUCCGCCCCCUCCUCCUGUGGCUCCGCCUCCUCGCGGGGCUCCUCCUCCUCCUCCUCGGGGGGCGGGGCCUGGAAAGGGCGGGGCCAGUGGGGGUGAGAAAUGGGGGCGGAGCCUCAGCCCCAUAGACGUGGGGCAGGGACCCCCCAGUGCCCCAUAGAUGUGGGGCAGAGCCCCCCAAGUGCCCCCUGACUUACGUCCUGGGCCUCGCUGCCGGAGCCGUCGGGGGGCGGGCAGGAGCCUUCCUCGCCCCCUUCCUCACCCCCCUCCUCUUCCUCCUCCUCCUCCUCUUCCUCGUCCUCUGGCCCCGAGGCGUUGGUGGCACUGGUGGCACUGGUGGCACUGAUGGUGCUGCUGCUGCGGCUGGCCAGGCUGCCAUCCCCCGGAGACUCCUGGGGACACUGGGGUGAGGGGGGGGGGUACUGGGAGGGGACUGGGAGCAUUGGGAGGUGCUGGGAGGGGACUGGGAGCACUGGGAGGGGACUGGGGGGCACUGGGGGGGUACUGGGAGGGAACUGGGAGGCACUGGAGAGCACUGGGAGGCAUCGUAGGGAGUCUGUGGGGUGUUAUAGGGGGGCUGUGGGGCACUGUGGGGGGUUAUGGGGUCUUUAUGGGGUCUCUGGGGGUCCCUAUGGGGUCUGUGGGGUCCCUGGGGUCUCACCUGGGCGCUGUUCCCGUGCCCCCCCCAUGCCGGGCGGCGCCGGGGGGGCUCCAGGAGCUGCAGCAGCCGGG